rnacentral:ncRNA from 1 species
GUGGGGAAAGAAGACCCUGUUGAGCUUGACUCUAGUUCGACUUUGUGAAAUGACUUGAGAGGUGUAGGAUAAGUGCGAGCUCUCGGGAGAAAUUGAAAUACUUCUACUUUUAACAUUAUUUUACUUAUUCUGUGAAUCAGAGGUGGGGCACGACCCCUCUUUUUUGACCCAAGGUUGGCUUCGGCCGACUGACCUGGGCAGAAUACAAUGUUAGGUGGGGAGUUUGGCUGGGGUGGCCCAUUUGUUAAAAGAUAAUGCAGGUGUCCUAAAAUGAGCUCAACGAGAAUAAAAAUCUCAUAUGGAGCAAAAGGGUAAAAACUUGUUUGAUUUUGAAUACCAGUACAAAUAUGAACUGUGAAAGCGUGGGCUAUCGAUCCUUUAGACCUUCGUAAUUUGAAGCUAGUGGUGUGAGAAAUGUUACUACAGGGAUUGGCUUGUGGCAGCCAAGUGUUCAUAGCGACGUCACUUUUUGAUCCUUCGAUGUCAGCUCUUCUUAUCAUUGUGAAGUAGAACAUACCAAGUGUUGGAUUGUGCACCCACUAAUAGGAAACGUGAGCUAGGUUUAGACUAUUGUAAGAUAGGUUAGUUUUACCCUAC